rnacentral:rRNA from 1 species
GUAAACGAUGAUAACUAGCCGUUGGGAGGGUUUACCUCUUAGUGGCGAAGCUAACGCGUUAAGUUAUCCGCCUGGGGAGUACGGCCGCAAGGCUAAAACUCAAAGGAAUUGACGGGGACCCGCACAAGCGGUGGAGCAUGUGGUUUAAUUCGAUGCAACGCGAAGAACCUUACCUGGUCUUGACAUACAGAGAACUUUCUAGAGAUAGAUUGGUGCCUUCGGGAACUCUGAUACAGGUGCUGCAUGGCUGUCGUCAGCUCGUGUCGUGAGAUGUUGGGUUAAGUCCCGUAACGAGCGCAACCCUUAUCCUUAUUUGCCAGCACUUCGGGUGGGAACUAUAAGGAGACUGCCGGUGAUAAACCGGAGGAAGGCGGGGACGACGUCAAGUCAUCAUGGCCCUUACGACCAGGGCUACACACGUGCUACAAUGGGAAGGACAAAGGGUCGCUAAGCCGCGAGGUGGUGCUAAUCUCAUAAACCUUUUCGUAGUCCGGAUCGGAGUCUGCAACUCGACUCCGUGAAGUCGGAAUCGCUAGUAAUCGUGGAUCAGAACGCCACGGUGAAUACGUUCCCGGGUCUUGUACACACCGCCCGUCAUACCAUGGGAGUGGGUUGCACCAGAAGUGGGUAGUCUAACUUAGGAGGACGCUCACCACGGUGUGAUUCAUGACUGGGGUAAAGUCGUAACAAGGUA